CUUUUUUCCUAGUACAGGUGUUUAGUACUAAAAUUUCUCUGUAACUACUGCUUUAGUUACAUCUACAAAUUUUAAUGUUAUUUUUUCAUUUAGUUAGAAACACUUUCUAAUUUACCUUUGUUAUUUUCUCUGAACCAUGGGUUAUUUAGAAAUCUGUGAUUUAGUUUCCAAAUAAUUUGGAAUUUUCCAGGAUUUAACACUGCAUCAAAGACCCCAAGAAAUGCUAUUAAAAUGCAAAUAAGUUGGUUCUUAGAAGUUUGGAGAAAGCAAUGGCACACAUUUAAAGAAGCAGAAAUGCUAGAGUUGCUAUAGCAGACAAUGGAAGAAGAAACCAAGAGACUCGGAGAACAUGCAGGAGGGAUGUAUUAGAUAUGGACUCUCACUAUGUUGCCCAGGCUGGUCUCAAGCUCCUGGGCUCAAGCAAUCCUUCCAUCUUGGCCUCCCAAAAUGCUGAGAUUACUGGAAUGAGCCACUGUGACUGGCCUAUGUGAGACUUUAUCAGAGGGAGGCCAACAAGUCCAGAAAGAAAGAGAUGUGAUGAAGGAAGCAGAGAUUGGAGUGAUGAAAUUGCUGACCAGUACUGACAUCUUGAUUUUAGCCCAGUGAAAUCUAUUUCAG
rnacentral:lncRNA from 1 species